GACGAACGCUGGCGGCGUGCUUAACACAUGCAAGUCGAACGCUGAAGCCCUUUCGGGGGUGGAUGAGUGGCGAACGGGUGAGUAACACGUGGGUAAUCUGCCCUGCACUCUGGGAUAAGCCUUGGAAACGGGGCCUAAUACCGGAUAGGACACAUCGCCGCAUGGUGUGUGUGUGGAAAGUUCCGGCGGUGCAGGUUGAGCCCGCGGCCUAUUAGCUUGUUGGUGGGGUGAUGGCCUACCAAGGCGACGACGGGUAGCCGGUCUGAGAGGGUGACCGGCCACACUGGGACUGAGACACGGCCCAGACUCCUACGGGAGGCAGCAGUGGGGAAUCUUGCGCAAUGGGCGAAAGCCUGACGCAGCAACGCCGCGUGGGGGAUGACGGCCUUCGGGUUGUAAACCUCUUUCGACCGGGACGAAGGGUGACUGACGGUACCGGUAGAAGAAGCACCGGCUAACUACGUGCCAGCCGCCGCCGUAA
rnacentral:rRNA from 1 species